rnacentral:tRNA from 1 species
ACGAAUAAGGUAAUUUUACGGUUGAUUUCCAAUUGACCGAGGAGAAAUUUAUA